GCCUGGCGUGUUGGCGUGAGCCUAUAGUCCCAGCUACGCUGGAGGCUGAGGUGGGAGGAUCCCUUGAGUCCAGGAGUUCUGGGCUGUAGUGUGCCAUGUAGAUCGAUGUCCCCACUAAGUUCAGCAUCUGUAUGAUGACCUCUUGGGAGCGGAGGACCGCCAGCUUGCCUAAGGACUGGUGAACCAACACGGUUGGAAACGGAGCAGGGCAGAAGUCCCAUUCUGAUCAGUAGUGAGAUCGCGCCUGUGAAGAGCCACUGCACUCCAGCCUGAGCAAUAUAGUGAGACUAUGUGUCUU
rfam:Cavia porcellus supercont2_78 genomic scaffold, whole genome shotgun sequence.